rnacentral:tRNA from 1 species
GGUUGUGGCUCAGAGGUAGAGCACUUGCCUACCAUGCAUGAGGAACUGGGUUCAAUCCUCAGUACCA